AUGGCCUCCAGGAGGCUGAUUAUUUUGAACAGAAGAUUCUGGUUCAGAACUCAUGCCAGGUCAGGCACCCCAUUCUUGGUUUGUUUCUUCGGUUUCUUCAGUGAUGUGGACCAGGAGGCCCUGGGGGGUGGCCCUUCCCAGGACAGGGCCCAGGGUGGUGCCCAGGGCCAGGCUCCAUCUUUGAAGGCAAGUGCAGGGAGUGACAAAAACAACACCUGUGGUUCAAAAGAUAAAGUUUAGUUUACUGUAAUUUAAAUUUCAGUUGUUUCUUCUUCCUCCCAGGGAUGGAC
rnacentral:lncRNA from 1 species